rnacentral:rRNA from 1 species
AACGUAGGAGACAAACGUUAUCCGGAGUUACUGGGCGUAAAGGGCGUGUAGGUGGCUUGUCACGUCGGGUGUGAAAGCUUGGGGCUUAACUCCAGGUCUGCAUUCGAUACGGGCUGGCUAGAGGUAGGUAGGGGAGAACGGAAUUCCUGGUGUAGCGGUGAAAUGCGCAGAUAUCAGGAGGAACACCGGUGGCGAAGGCGGCUCUCUGGGCCUUACCUGACGCUGAGGAGCGAAAGCGUGGGUAGCGAACAGG